UGUUCCCUACGGGGCGCAGCAGUGGGGAAUAUUGGACAAUGGGGGGAACCCUGAUCCAGCGACGCCGCGUGAGUGAAGAAGUAUUUCGGUAUGUAAAGCUCUAUCAGCAGGGAAGAAAAUGACGGUACCUGACUAAGAAGCCCCGGCUAACUACGUGCCAGCAGCCGCGGUAAUACGUAGGGGGCAAGCGUUAUCCGGAUUUACUGGGAGUAAAGGGAGCGUAGACGGUGCAGCAAGCCUGCUGUGAAAGGUCGGGGCCCAACCCCGGGACGGCAUGGGAAACUG
rnacentral:rRNA from 1 species